UACGUAGGGUGCAAGCGUUUGUCCGGAAUUAUUGGGCGUAAAGAGCUCGUAGGCGGUCUGUCGCGUCGGCUGUGAAAUCCCGAGGCUCAACCUCGGGUCUGCAGUCGAUACGGGCAAACUAGAGUAUUGCAGGGGAGACUGGAAUUCCUGGUGUAGCGGUGAAAUGCGCAGAUAUCAGGAGGAACACCGGUGGCGAAGGCGGGUCUCUGGGCAAUAACUGACGCUGGAGGAGCGAAAGCGUGGGGAGCGAACAGG
rnacentral:rRNA from 1 species